UACUUUUAAAUAGUUCCUUCCCCUGUGCAUUCCAACCUCAUUUUUCUUUCACUUCAGAUAAUGUUCUGCUUUGACAAAUUAGUGAAAUAAGCUUAGGAAAUGUUGCUGUUAUGUGGUGGUUUGAAACUCUGCUCCUCUCAUUUGUUGGCACCUCGCCUUGCCAGUCAUAGUAAUGCUUGUCCAUUAGCUGUAUUUCCCACAGCAUGCUGAAUGGAACUAAAGCUGUUUUGUUUGUAGCUUUUAUUUCUUGAAAAGUUGCCCACCAGAUUUCAGAUUUAAUGCCAGCCACCAGGAUGUGUUUUUAAAUAUCCAUGGCUCCAGCCUGAUAAACUACGGAAGAAUCUCGCCUGACGAAACCUGGCCUCUGUCUGUGCUAACAAACAACCACACUUCUAAAUCCCAUAUAACUUCAGGAUUUGCUCUAACUUCCACUCUUUCCCUUCAGGGGAAGGGAACAGUUUCACUUAAAAAACAAUUUGAACUGACCCCUAUUCUAGAUCAAUUUGCAAUGCAUUGAGGUAUUAAAUGCAUUGCACUUGAUUUAUAGCCCUGUUUACUCUGCAUCACCAAACCCUAGUGGGAUUCAGAGAGAAGCUGACCACAGCUGAAAAUACCCAGAUCUGGCUCACCUGAGGAGAGCUCCUAUUUGUAUUGAAAAAAUAUGAAAUUUCAAGAGUUUAAAACUUUCUUUAACAUGGACUUCUAAGAGAAUCAGAUUGAUGUUCAGAACUCCAGAGAUGGUGAUGUGUCCCUUUAAUUUACAAGGCUGAUAAUCUGAAGAAAACUUGCUCUCCCAGCCAACCCACAAGUACUGAGUGUUUGUGUACUUAACACUGUACAAGGUGCUUUACACAAAAUAAAUACUUUUCCUGACCCCUAAAUUA